GAUGAACGCUAGCUACAGGCUUAACACAUGCAAGUCGAGGGGAAACGACAUCGAAAGCUUGCUUUUGAUGGGCGUCGACCGGCGCACGGGUGAGUAACGCGUAUCCAACCUGCCCACCACUUGGGGAUAACCUUGCGAAAGUAAGACUAAUACCCAAUGACGUCUCUAGAAGACAUCUGAAAGAGAUUAAAGAUUUAUCGGUGAUGGAUGGGGAUGCGUCUGAUUAGCUUGUUGGCGGGGUAACGGCCCACCAAGGCGACGAUCAGUAGGGGGUUCUGAGAGGAAGGUCCCCCACAUUGGAACUGAGACACGGUCCAAACUCCUACGGGAGGCAGCAGUGAGGAAUAUUGGUCAAUGGGCGCAGGCCUGAACCAGCCAAGUCGCGUGAGGGAAGACGGUCCUACGGAUUGUAAACCUCUUUUGUCGGGGAGUAACGUGCGGGACGCGUCCCGUAUUGAGAGUACCCGAGAAAAAGCAUCGGCUAACUCCGUGCCAGCA
rnacentral:rRNA from 1 species